GCCUGGCUGGCUCAAUUGGUAGAGCAUGCCACUCUUGACCUCCUCGUUGUGAGUUUGAGCCUCAUGUUAGGCA
rnacentral:tRNA from 1 species